AUCCAGAUGAUGAGUCCUAAAUAGGACGAAAUGCGAAUCCUGGAU
rnacentral:hammerhead_ribozyme from 1 species